rnacentral:rRNA from 1 species
CCCUUAGAUGUUCUGGGCCGCACGCGCGCUACACUGAUGCAUUCAACGAGUCUAAAACCUGGUCUGAUAGGGCUGGGUAAUCUUUUGAAUGUGCAUCGUGAUUGGGAUAGAUGAUUGCAAUUCUUCAUCUUCAACGAGGAAUGCCUAGUAAACGCAAGUCAUCAGCUUGCAUUGAUUACGUCCCUGCCCUUUGUACACACCGCCCGUCGCUCCUACCGAUUGAAUGUUCCGAUGAAUACCAUGGACUGAGAGUAUGAAUGGGUUCGCCUAUUUCUGCUUCUCGGGAAGCGGAGUAAAUCUUAACAUUUAGAGGAAGGAGAAGUCGUAACA